CAAACGCUAUGUUAGACU
rnacentral:snRNA from 1 species